GAAACGGUGUGCGUGCGGGAGGUGAAUCUUGUCUAGAACCAUAACGACUCUCGGCAACGGAUAUCUCGGCUCUCGCAUCGAUGAAGAACGUAGCGAAAUGCGAUACUUGGUGUGAAUUGCAGAAUCCCGCGAAUCAUCGAGUCUUUGAACGCAAGUUGCGCCCGAAGCCACCUGGCCGAGGGCACGUCUGCCUGGGUGUCACGCAUCGUUGCCCCCAACCCCAUCUCCUUGCAAAGGGACGAGGGGGCCUGUGGGGCAGAAAUUGGCCUCCCGUGAGCUCAUGCAUGCGGUUGGCCUAAAAGCGAGUCCUCGGCGACGCGCGCCACGACAAUCGGUGGUUGUCAAACCCUCGUGUCCCGUCGUGCGUGCCGCGUCGCUCAUCGUGUGCUCCUUGACCCUGCUGUGUCGCGCUAGCGACGCUUCCAACGCGACCCCAGGUCAGGCGGGACUACCCGCUGAAU
rnacentral:rRNA from 1 species